rnacentral:misc_RNA from 1 species
UGUGAUAGAGCAACAGCCACCUGUUUAGAAGAUAAAUUUAACAAAUCAUGGAAUCAUUAUUUGCUGCUUUAGAUGGUAUGAUCUCUUCUUUUUCUUCCAUUUUAAAUGAGGUACCAUAUAAGCUGUAAGAGACCUUAUAGUUGACAACAAACUUCAGUCAACUAUUCUCAGUUGUCUAAGUGCCUGUAUAAGUGCACCUCUAUUAUGUCAUUGGGAGAAUUGAUGAAGCAAAAGAAUUGAUUAAUUGUAGAAUGUUCUCUGCAGUUUCUUCCUCCUCUUGUCCCUUUCUUUCCAUUCUCUACCCUAAUUUCUUUCUUUCUUAAUUCUUAAUUUCAAUUUUUUUCCUUCUUAUCUUUUUCUCCUGCUUUAUCUAUUCAAAUUCUCCUCUUCGUUAUAUCUCUGUUCCAUCCUUCUCUUCUAGUAGGAAGUUUAUACCAUGUAAGCUGCAAAUGGUUUUCUAGCUCCCAACAAAGAACAAUGCACUGGCAUUGCUGCAUUGGUAACAUAAGAAAUGAUAUCCAUUUUUGAAACAUUUAUACAUGAUUCCACUCAGAGGGGCAGCCAACAUUUCCCAAAAUUCAACUUAAUGCCAAUUAUGACAUUGAAUAGACCUUAAAAAUUUAAUAAAAACUACUAAAGCAGUACUUGGUAUAAGUAUGAACUCAAAUAGCAGAUAAAAAAAUGGUAAAUAAUGCAUAUAAUUGGCAAUUUCACUAUAG